rnacentral:rRNA from 1 species
ACGCUCGACACCUACGGGAGGUAGCAGUGGGGAAUAUUGCACAAUGGGGGAAACCCUGAUGCAGCGACGCCGCGUGAAGGAAGAAGUAUUUCGGUAUGUAAACUUCUAUCAGCAGGGAAGAAAAUGACGGUACCUGACUAAGAAGCCCCGGCUAAUUACGUGACAGCAGCCGCGGUAAUCUGAGCGGGCUGGCAAGGC